AAAAAUUUAGUUAAAACUAUAACGUUAGCUUGUCAAGCUAGAAUUAUUUAAAAUAAUAAUUUUUA
rnacentral:tRNA from 1 species